AGCUCCGAGGUGUUUUACAUAUCAGAUUGCAAAUCCGAAGAAGCAGGCUAGCGUCUGCCGGGGCUU
rnacentral:tRNA from 1 species